rnacentral:rRNA from 1 species
AGAGUUUGAUCCUGGCUCAGGACGAACGCUGGCGGCGCGCCUAACACAUGCAAGUCGAACGAGCGAGAGAGAGCUUGCUUUCUCAAGCGAGUGGCGAACGGGUGAGUAACGCGUGAGGAACCUGCCUCAAAGAGGGGGACAACAGUUGGAAACGACUGCUAAUACCGCAUAAGCCCACAGGUCGGCAUCGACCAGAGGGAAAAGGAGCAAUCCGCUUUGAGAUGGCCUCGCGUCCGAUUAGCUAGUUGGUGAGGUAAUGGCCCACCAAGGCAACGAUCGGUAGCCGGACUGAGAGGUUGAACGGCCACAUUGGGACUGAGACACGGCCCAGACUCCUACGGGAGGCAGCAGUGGGGAAUAUUGCACAAUGGGGGAAACCCUGAUGCAGCGACGCCGCGUGGAGGAAGAAGGUCUUCGGAUUGUAAACUCCUGUUGUUGAGGAAGAUAAUGACGGUACUCAACAAGGAAGUGACGGCUAACUACGUGCCAGCAGCCGCGGUAAAACGUAGGUCACAAGCGUUGUCCGGAAUUACUGGGUGUAAAGGGAGCGCAGGCGGGAAGACAAGUUGGAAGUGAAAUCUAUGGGCUCAACCCAUAAACUGCUUUCAAAACUGUUUUUCUUGAGUAGUGCAGAGGUAGGCGGAAUUCCCGGUGUAGCGGUGGAAUGCGUAGAUAUCGGGAGGAACACCAGUGGCGAAGGCGGCCUACUGGGCACCAACUGACGCUGAGGCUCGAAAGUGUGGGUAGCAAACAGGAUUAGAUACCCUGGUAGUCCACACCGUAAACGAUGAUUACUAGGUGUUGGAGGAUUGACCCCUUCAGUGCCGCAGUUAACACAAUAAGUAAUCCACCUGGGGAGUACGACCGCAAGGUUGAAACUCAAAGGAAUUGACGGGGGCCCGCACAAGCAGUGGAGUAUGUGGUUUAAUUCGACGCAACGCGAAGAACCUUACCAAGUCUUGACAUCCUGCGACGAUGCUGGAAACAGUAUUUUCCUUCGGGACGCAGAGACAGGUGGUGCAUGGUUGUCGUCAGCUCGUGUCGUGAGAUGUUGGGUUAAGU